rnacentral:rRNA from 1 species
GAUGAACGCUAGCUACAGGCUUAACACAUGCAAGUCGAGGGGAAACGAUAGAGAAAGCUUGCUUUUUCUAGGCGUCGACCGGCGCACGGGUGAGUAACGCGUAUCCAACCUGCCCACCACUUGGGGAUAACCUUGCGAAAGUAAGACUAAUACCCACUGAUAUCUCAAGAAGACAUCUGAAUGAGAUUAAAGAUUUAUCGGUGAUGGAUGGGGAGGCGUCUGAUUAGCUUGUUGGCGGGGUAACGGCCCACCAAGGCGACGAUCAGUAGGGGUUCUGAGAGGAAGGUCCCCCACAUUGGAACUGAGACACGGUCCAAACUCCUACGGGAGGCAGCAGUGAGGAAUAUUGGUCAGUGGGCGAGAGCCUGAACCAGCCAAGUAGCGUGCAGGAUGACGGCCCUAUGGGUUGUAAACUGCUUCUAUAAGGGAAUAAAGUGAGUCUCGUGAGACUUUUUGCAUGUACCUUAUGAAUAAGGACCGGCUAAUUCCGUGCCAGCAGCCGCGGUAA